rnacentral:rRNA from 1 species
UGGGGAAUAUUGCACAAUGGGGGGAACCCUGAUGCAGCGACGCCGCGUGAGUGAAGAAGUAUUUCGGUAUGUAAAGCUCUAUCAGCAGGGAAGAAGAUGACGGUACCUGACUAAGAAGCCCCGGCUAACUACGUGCCAGCAGCCGCGGUAAUACGUAGGGGGCAAGCGUUAUCCGGAUUUACUGGGUGUAAAGGGAGCGUAGACGGCAGGGCAAGUCUGGAGUGAAAGCCCGGGGCCCAACCCCGGGACUGCUUUGGAAACUGCCAUGCUGGAGUGCUGGAGAGGUAAGCGGAAUUCCUAGUG